AUACGGAGGGUGCAAGCGUUACUCGGAAUCACUGGGCGUAAAGCGCGCGCAGGCGGCUUGGUAAGUUGGAUGUGAGAGCCUACGGCUCAACCGUAGAACUGCAUCCAAAACUGCCAAGCCAGAGUGUGGGAGAGGAAGAUGGAAUUAGUUGUGUAGGGGUAAAAUCCGUAGAGAUAACUAGGAAUACCAAAAGCGAAGGCAAUCUUCUGGAACACUACUGACGCUGAGGCGCGAAAGCGUGGGGAGCAAACAGGAUUAGAAACCCCAGUAGUCC
rnacentral:rRNA from 1 species